CAAAUGAUCUGCCUGCCUCACCCUCGCAAAGUGCUGGGAUUACAGGCAUGAGCCACCAUGCCCAGCUUUCUUUUCCCUAAUUUUAGCUAGAGAGUCAUCAACUGUUUCUGGAUUUGCUACAAUAUAUUUAAACAGUACUUAGGUGAGUUCCAGUCAUCAAAGAACUGGGGAUACCACUGUUAGAAGUCCCACUCUUUUUCACUUUUGCAGAAAAAUUGCCAGUUAAAGUAGAAUGGUAAAGAGGUAAGGAAAAGGAAUGACAUUUUAUAAUUUAUGGAAAUUUUUCAUGGCGUGGAUUUUAGACAUAAGAUGUGCUUUAAUAUGUGUGUGUAAGUAUUUUAUGAUUGUACAUAUUGGAAGAACUAUUUCCUGCCCCCUUCCCCCAACACACGAACCAUCACUACCACCACCCUGAUAAUUCUGCUUAUGCUUAGAUUACAAUUUAAUAAAUAAAUUUAGGUUUGCCAGUUGAUUGUACUAAAUUUGUUUAUAUGGAGAAGUGUGUACAUUUACUCAUGCCUUUGCACUUUUCCCAAAUAAUUUCCAAGGGCAUGUGGAAAGAUUGGAAAAGUCUCUGUCUUCCCCAUUUUUCUUUGAUAAGACAGAAGAGGCAUGUUUGUUUCAAGUUACAAAUCAUUAACUAUUUAUUAAAUACCUUUUAUGUAGUAGUUAUGGAUCAAUAAUAAAUUGAUAUAUUAUUUACUGAUGAAACAUUAAGAGAUAUUAAUUGAUAAAAAUAAUGAGGUUAAGGAGUAUUCAGUUAACUCACUAACUUAUUCCCCUGAAUCUCCAUAGAAAAUCUUGGAAGGCUUAAUGUAGUAAGUCUUUAUGUAAUCUAUAGAUACAAAUCAAUUGACUUUUUAUUUCAAACCAUAUUUCUAGUUUGAAGAGCUCAGUAUAAAAUUGAAAUAAACUUACUGUUAGGGCUAUGGACUUUGUUAUACUAUAAAAGACGAUAGAAACAUUUUUGAAAUUGAGUAAUUUUUCUUGUAAAUAUAAAUACAGCUUUGGUAAUUGAGUUUUUAUUAACAACUGUAUCGUAAUACAUUCAAAAGGAUAAUGUUCCUUCUCUGUUUAUAACCUGUAUGUUAGAGCUAUCCAGCAGAGCUUUCUGUGGUCAUAGAUAUGUUAUGUCUCUUCUCUGACCAAUGCAUUAGCCUCUGGUUCCAUGUGGCUAUUAAGCACUUGAAACAUCGCUAAUGUGUCUCAGAAACUAAUUUGAUUUAAUUUUAUUAAUAUAAAUUAAAAUUAAAAUAGCUACCUAUGAUUAAUUGCUACCAUUUUGGGCAGUGCAGCUGGAAAUGAAUAUUAGUAUUACCAAGAGAAAGAGAAAAGUGGUCUUGGAUUUUCAAAUAUGAGUAAAAUCUUAGUCUUUACAUUUUGAUAUUUUUGAAUUUACAAAAUAAUAGCUAGAAACCGUCACAAGAAAGGUACUUGUUCAGUUAGGAUAUGUCACAUAUGGUUUAUUUUUACUUUCAGGCAUUUUGAGAAUGUACAAUUUAUUUUAACUACUUCUGUUAAAUUUUUGCUGAAAUUUUGUCAUAAAUGUUUCAAAAUUAAAGCAAAAGUCCUUUAGAAUAGUCUGUUAUAUCAAGGGCUAUUUUAUAUAAGACAUUUUUGCUAAUAUUUUCUAGAAAUAUUAAGUAGAUAAGAAUUUUUUUUUUGUUUCUGGAAUUAGUGUUUACUAUAUUUUCUCCCAGUGAUAUAGACCAGUGUGGGCCACAUACCUAGGCUAUUCUGGAACUGGUCCCUGUGAAAUGAUAUCACCAAUUGGAAAUAUUUUAUUAAGUGUUUCAUAACUCUUGGUUUACAAACCUGUCACACCUUUUCUUUUUGGGGAUUUAAAAUAGAUUAUUAUAACUGUUGACUUUUCAAAUAAUUCUUUAAAGACUGUAUUGAUGAUUCACAAUCUUUUCCUUAUUUUCGAAAAAUAGCUUUUGUCGAAACUGAGGAAACUAUCCUAGCAGGAGGGAAAGGUAGAUUUCCCUGGGGAAGAUGACUUAAAAGUUACUGACUGGAAAAUGAAAGCAUUUGCAUAAUACUAGCUCAUAAGUAAACUCACAUCAUCAAAAGUAAUAUAAUUUUUCUUGCCCUUUAUUAUUUACUUGGAUCUACCAUAGGUUUUUUGCUUGUUUUUCCAGUAUUAUUUCGCUAUGAUUGCCAAACUUUGUAUGCAUUUAAGGCGUACAACGUAAUGAUAUAUGUGUAUUUUGUGAAAUGAUUACCAAAAUCACACUAAUUAAACACAUCCAUCACCUUACACAGUUACCAUUGUGUGUGUUCACACAAAUACAAAAUGUAAUACAAAAUACAAAACUAAAUACAAAAAAAGAAUUAUAAACCAUCAUCUUCCUAUUUAAAAAAACUAAAAACCUGUGAGCUAUAAAUUAGUCUUGGAAUUACUACCAUUAGUUGCCUAAUGUUGUCUGCAUUCUACUAGAAUUAAUUGUGUGUGUGUGUGUCUGUUUUAUUGAGAACGUUUAAGAUCUCUCUUAGCACCUUUUUGGUGUACUAUACAGUAUUAUUAGCUGUAGUCACUAUUUGUACAAUAGAUCUCCAGAACUUAUUCAUCCUACGUAACUGAAACUUUGUAUCCUUCGACCAUCUUCCCAUUCCUCCCACACCUCAGCUCCUGGAAAGCACCAUUCUCUGUGCUUUACAAAUUUGACUUUUUAAGAUUCCGUAUAUCAGUGAGGUCAUGCAGUAUUUGUCUUUCUGUGCCUCACUUAUUUAACUUAGGAUAACAUUCUCCAGGUUCCUGCAUGUUGUUGGAAAUGACAAUGUCCUUUUUUUUUUUUUUUAAAGCUGUUAACAUUCCAUUACACAGACACACACAUCAUUUUCUUCAUCCGUUCAUUUCUCAGUGCACACUUCGGUUCAUUCCUACCUUGGCUAUUGUGAAUAAUGCUGCACUGAAUGUGAAAGUGCAGAUCUCUCUUCAAGAGAGUGAUUUUAUUUCCUUUGGUUAUAUCUACCCAGAAGUGGUACUGCUAGAUCAUAUGGUAGUUUUAUUUUUAAUUUUUUGAGGAAUCUGCCAUAGUUUUAAGUUGAACAUAUUAUAUGGAAACAACUGAAAUUUGUAAUUUUCCAGCAUAUUAGCCCUAGAGCCAAAUUUCUACUUAUUACUUGCAUCAUCUCUCUUAGUGCUGUGCUGCUUCUUUUGUAGCAAAGAAAGGUAACUUUUUGGGGGAUAUAUUUUCUUAAAAGGACUUAUGCUUUAAGUUAUUCAAGCAGCUGACUGUAUAUUUCAUUCAAGUGAGACUUCUUCAUUUUAAUAUAUUGACUGUUGAG